GGAAUCUUCCACAAUGGGCGAAAGCCUGAUGGAGCAACGCCGCGUGUGUGAUGAAGGGUUUCGGCUCGUAAAACACUGUUGUAAGAGAAGAAUGACAUUGAGAGUAACUGUUCAAUGUGUGACGGUAUCUUACCAGAAAGGAACGGCUAAAUACGUGCCAG
rnacentral:rRNA from 1 species